CACAAGCGGUGAGCAUGUGGUUUAAUUCGACGCAACGCGAAGAACCUUACCAGGGCUUGACAUCCCCUGACCGCGUAUGAAAGUACGUUUUCACCCUCGGGUGACAGGGAGACAGGUGCUGCAUGGCUGUCGUCAGCCCGUGUCGUGAGAUGUUGGGUUAAGUCCCGCAACGAGCGCAACCCUUAUCUUUAGUUACCAGCACUUCGGGUGGGGACUCUAGAGAUACUGCCCCGGUCAACGGGGAGGAAGGUGGGGAUGACGUCAAGUCCUCAUGGCCUUUAUGCCUAGGGCUACACACGUGCUACAAUGGGCGGUACAAAGGGUCGCGAUCCCGCGAGGGGGAGCCAAUCCCAAAAAGCCGUCCCAAGUUCGGAUUGGAGUCUGCAACUCGACUCCAUGAAGCUGGAAUCGCUAGUAAUCGCGGAUCAGCAUGCCCGCGGUCCGAAUACGUUCCGGGCCUU
rnacentral:rRNA from 1 species